rnacentral:rRNA from 1 species
GACGUAGGUGGCGAACGUUAUCCGGAAUUACUGGGCGUAAAGGGUCCGUAGGCGGCACAGCAAGCCUGGCGUGAAAGGGUGCGGCUUACCUGCACGAGGGCGUUGGGGACUGCUGAGCUAGAAUCCGGUCGAGGUCGGCGGAAUUCCCGGUGUAGUGGUGGAAUGCGUAGAGAUCGGGAGGAACCUCGCGGGCGUAAGCAGCCGACUAGGGCGAGAUUGACGCUGAGGGACGAAAGCGUGGGGAGCGAACAGG